rnacentral:rRNA from 1 species
AGUGAACGCUGGCGGCGUGCUUAACACAUGCAAGUCGAACGAGAACGGAUUAUAGCUUGCUAUAAUUGUCAGCUAAGUGGCGCACGGGUGAGUAAUGUAUAGGUAAUAUGCCUCUUACUAAGGGAUAACAAAUGGAAACGUUUGCUAAUACCUUAUACUCCUUAUUAACAGAAGUUAAUAAGGGAAAGAUCUAUUGGUAAGAGAUUCGCCCGUAUUGUAUCAGUUAGUUGGUGGGGUAAUGGCUUACCAAGACUAUGACACAUAACUGGUUUGAGAGGAUGAUCAGUCACACUGGAACUGAGACACGGUCCAGACUCCUACGGGAGGCAGCAGUGGGGAAUAUUGCACAAUGGACGAAAGUCUGAUGCAGCAACGCCGCGUGGAGGAUGACACAUUUCGGUGCGUAAACUCCUUUUAUAUGAGAAGAUAAUGACGGUAUUAUAUGAAUAAGCACCGGCUAACUCCGUGCCAGCAGCCGCCGUAA